CAUACCUUAUAUGCCUGAUGCCAGUUAGAAUACAUUUUUUGAAAUACCAAAAUGUCCUAAGGAUCUAAUAUAUCCUCUAAUAACUCCUCGGUCUAUAUUGAGAAAGCCUCAAUCCACCAAAUCGAUACUCUGUUCUUCGUCCCCAAAUCUUUCACGAUUUUAGAGCGGCGGCGAUCUACUUCGUGUGGAGCAGCGGCAGCGGCAGCGGCGAUAAGCCGGCGACGAUAAAUCGAAGCAUUUCCGUAAGCUUCAGAGUACACACACCCCCUGUUAUUAUUAGAAAAGCAAGAUAAACCGACGGGCUUAGUGCUUUCCCGUCACCGGAGCAAACCAUGGAUACUCAAAUGGAAAAGGUCUUCGUCGCUGUCGGCAACGAUUUGCACGAAGGGUUGGGAACUCAAAAAAUGGUCUGGCCGCCAAUGAAUCUGCUUCGUCAUUGUUCAUAUUGAUAACAAUCCCAGGGAUUUGGUUAGCACCCCCAUUUGGGAAGCUUCCUGCAACUUCAGUAAACGAUGAGAAGCUGGAGAUUAUUAGGAUUUGUGAAUAGGACAAGACAGACAAAUUGUUGUCCAAGUACAAGGCUUUCUACGGCGAGGUUAGUUCAUGUCUUUCUUUCCCUCUAACUUCUUUCUUUUUUCUUUUGGGUAACCAAAUCCCCCAUUAAAAAAUCAGUUUAAUGGAAUUAAUUUGAUGGGAAAGUUUAUGAUUUUGCUUGCUUAGUUGAAAACCGAAGUUCUAAAAAUGGAGAAAACAGAAAAACAAAUUCAAAAAGCAAUUGUCGGAUUGAUCUCAAGCCAUCAGGUGACCGAAUUGGUUAUGGGGAUCACACUCGUAAAACAGUCAUUGUGUAACGCCCCGACUAUUGUGAGAGGACAAUAUUACCCUCCCUUUCCCUUUUUCUUUUAAACCCACACUCUCCCUCUUACUUCUCACUCAUACGAACAGCAGAAGCCCCAAACCGAGAAGAAGAGAACCUGCUUGACUGCUCCCCUUGGGCGUGCAAUUCUUAGACCAUCUCCCCACCGGCGUGCGAUUCUCAGACCAUCUCGCCACUGUCAUGCGAUUCUCAGAACCUCUCCUCUUUGGCGACUUAUCCGUCCAAGGUACACAAGGGCUCUUACCAUUACUACUAUUCCCAUUCCCAUUCCCAUUCCCAUUCCCAGCUACUGAGCCCUGAGGUGUGUAGUAGAAAGUCUCCUCGUCAGACGACAUGGCUUGAGGUGGAGGCAGAGGAGGAGGAGAAGUUCUACACGGUGGAGCCCUGCUCAGGGGUGGUAAGGGAUGAAGUUCUGGGCUUGGACGGUGCAGCUUUGAUAUUCGCAUGGAGCUUAGCUUGUGGUAAGGCAAAAUCAGAGUAUUGUCACGCUAAUUUCACUGCCUCAAUAUGAAUUGCUUUACUGAUGUGGUCAAGUACCUCAUCCUUCAUGCUAACCUUUCCAAAUCUGAAUGUAUUUGGUGCUUCUGCAUAAUAACUAUAACAA